rnacentral:rRNA from 1 species
CACGGGGGGAGCAAGCGUUGUUCGGAAUCACUGGGCGUAAAGGGCGUGUAGGCGGUCGAGUAAGUGGAAUGUGAAAUGCUCCGGCUCACCCGGAGUACUGCAUCCCAAACUGCUCGGCUUGAGUAUGGGAGAGGAUGAGGGAAUUCCUGGUGUAGCGGUGAAAUGCGUAGAUAUCGGGAAGAACACCCGUGGCGAAGGCGGCUCUCUGGAACGCAACUGACGCUGAGACGCGAAAGCGUGGGGAGCAAACAGG